UACGAAGGGGGCUAGCGUUGCUCGGAAUCACUGGGCGUAAAGGGUGCGUAGGCGGGUCUUUAAGUCAGGGGUGAAAUCCUGGAGCUCAACUCCAGAACUGCCCUUUGAUACUGAAGAUCUUGAGUUCGGGAGAGGGUGAGUGGAACUGCGAGUGUAGAGGUGAAAUUCGUAGAUAUUCGCAAGAACACCAGUGGCGAAGGCGGCUCACUGGCCCGAUACUGACGCUGAGGCACGAAAGCGUGGGGAGCAAACAGG
rnacentral:rRNA from 1 species